ACAGUAUACAGAUAACAGCAGAAAUGGUUAUAAAAAGAUUACCAGGAAGAUGUUAAGAAAGGGGGACAGUAACAAAAACUAGAGAACACUGGAGAGUAAACCUGAUUGUUUAUAACUGUGGCACAUCCACAUGAAGAGGGACGUAAAUCACGGCUUGAAUAACUGAAAGAUCAUGCCACAUUCCUGGGUGAGAAUGUUCCCCAGAUUACUCCUGAAUUGCAUAUAACACCAUUUAAAAUCCUAACUUUUUUUUUUGGUAGAAUGAGCAUGGUUGAUGAAUUAUUUCUACAACAGUUCAUUGCUAGAAUAGUCAAAAUAUUUUGGAGAGCCUAGAGUAGAAUAACUGGAAUUGCUCCACCAGUUUUACUAAAAAAUAUAUAAAUAUUGAUUCCAUGUCAGAC